rnacentral:lncRNA from 1 species
CAUGUGAACUCAUAGACACCUUCAGGGUGUGGGGUACAGCCUCCUUCCCAUCUUAUCCCAGAAGGCCUCUCCCUUCUUGUCCAGCCCUUCAUGCUACACCUGGCUGGCCUCUCACCCCUAUUUCUAGAGCCUCAGAGGACCCAUCCACCAUUCAUUCAUUCAUUCAUUCAUUCAUUCAUUCAUUCAUUCAUCAACAUAAAUCAUAACUUGCAUGCAUGAGCCACUGCGUCUGGCCUUCUAUAAUUUUCUGGUAGUCACGAUGGAAACAAACAAAACACCUUAGAACCAGAGAUCGACCCCCUCAAGCAAUACAUCAAUUCCCUUCACAAGAAACGUCGGGGCUACAUGAGUAUCUGUGUUGAAUGCGGUCUGAAAUGAUCCUAUGGAUUUUCCCGGCUGGUUGCCACUGCUGUACAACAUUCAGUGCCCACAUCCACCUGUGCCAUUAAGCUUUUUUGAGACAUGAGAGAUGCCUCUUCCCUGCUGUAUGACAUGCAUUUGGGAAGUUGGAAAGAAAUGACAAAAUCAGGGAGAAAACAUCCAAGCUUCUUACCUGUAGAUAGAAUCAGCCCUCACUUGG